rnacentral:rRNA from 1 species
UACGGAGGAUGCGAGCGUUAUCCGGAUUUAUUGGGUUUAAAGGGUGCGUAGGCGGCCGAGUAAGUCAGCGGUGAAAUUUUGCAGCUUAACUGUAACAGUGCUGUUGAUACUGCAUGGCUAGGAUUUGGUUGCUGUGGGUGGAAUGUGUGGUGUAGCGGUGAAAUGCUUAGAUAUCGGGAGGAACACCAGUAGCGAAGGCGGCUCUCUGGGCCAGUACUGACGCUGAGGAGCGAAAGCGUGGGGAGCAAACAGGAUUA